rnacentral:lncRNA from 1 species
GGGUGUUGGACUCUAGUUCGAGUGUUCAUAUAUGUACUUCAAUGCAGAAUCUAAUAGAAAGUAGGAGGUUGAGGAAAAGUGAAAAAAUCUUUCGGAUUGACAAUGGAGCAAAAGUUACUGCAGAAGUCAUUGGCACUUAUCCUCUUCGAUUAUCGUUAGAAUUUAGAUUAGAUUUAAAAGACUAUUAUUUUAUUCCUGUAGCUAGU